rnacentral:rRNA from 1 species
GAACGAACGCUGGCGGCAGGCCUAACACAUGCAAGUCGAACGCAUCGCAAGAUGAGUGGCAGACGGGUGAGUAACGCGUGGGAACCUUCCCAGUGGUACGGAAUAGCUCAGGGAAACUUGGGGUAAUACCGUAUAAGCCCGAAAGGGGAAAGAUUUAUCGCCAUUGGAUGGGCCCGCGUCGGAUUAGCUAGUUGGUGAGGUAAUGGCUCACCAAGGCGACGAUCCGUAGCUGGUCUGAGAGGAUGAUCAGCCACACUGGGACUGAGACACGGCCCAGACUCCUACGGGAGGCAGCAGUGGGGAAUAUUGGACAAUGGGCGCAAGCCUGAUCCAGCCAUGCCGCGUGAGUGACGAAGGCCUUAGGGUUGUAAAGCUCUUUGGUCGGGGACGGAUAAUGACGGUACCCGCAGAAUAAGCCCCGGCUAACUUCGUGCCAGCAGCCGCGGUAAUACGAAGGGGCGUAGCGUUGUUCGGAAUCACUGGCGUAAAGCGCACGUAGGCGGA